CCUUAGUAACGGCGAGCGAAAAGGGAUGAGCCCAGCAUGUAAAUCUCCGGUUUCCGGCGAAUUGUAGUCUGGAGUAGCAACUCCUGGUGCCGUGCCGGCCCAAGCAUCUUGGAAUAGAUCGCCUCAGAGGGUGAGAGCCCCGUAGGUCGGUACGAGCUCCUACACGGAGUGCUCACGCAGAGUCGGGUUGUUUGGGAAUGCAGCCCCAAUUGGGUGGUAAACCCCAUCUAAGGCUAAAUACCUGUGGGAGACCGAUAGCAAAAAAGUACCUCGAGGGAACGAUGAAAAGACCGCUGGCAAGCGAGUGAAAGAGUGCAUGAAAUUGUAUAGUGGGAAGGGAUGGCCUGGCGUAUUGCCCGCGGGUAUACACUGCUCUUUGAGCUCUUGAAUACACCGUGGGCUGGCUGGUGCCGACACCUGCGCUUGCAAAUCCCCAAACUAAGGUGUUUGGCUCUUCAAGCGCGGGUGUUGAGGUUGAUCGUCGCUUUGUUUUAAACUGCGUCGACAUANCACCAGCUGAAGCCAGUCCAUCUACCCGUCUUGAAACACGGACCAAUGAGUCUAGCAAGUGCGCGAGUCGGUGGGUUCAAACCCACGAUGCGCAAUGAAAGUGAGAGGUGGGACAGCGUAUGCUGGCACCAUCGGCCAACCAUGAUCUUCUGUGAAAGGUUUGAGCAAUAUCGUAUUCGCUAUGACCCGAAAGAUGGUGAACUAUGCCUGUACACGACCAACCCGGCGGAAACGCCAGUGGAUGUCGGUAAAUGUGCUGACGUGCAAAUCGCUUUUCACAUAUGGUUAUAGCGACGGAAAGACUA
rnacentral:rRNA from 1 species